rnacentral:misc_RNA from 1 species
GUCACAAUUCAAAGUUAAAAAAGGAAUCCAUCCUUUUGUCUACCAAUUUAAGAACUCGCGAAGACGUGUCCUACACUGGAGAACUCACUUCAUCAGAAUAUGGAAUCUUCAACUUUGGCCCAUGAUAAUAUUAUUGUGCUGAGUGAUGAUGAAGGCGAUGAACCAAAGCACUUGGAACUUUCUAAAAGGUCUACUUCUGAUGACAGCCC